ACAAAAUCUGGGAAAAAUAAAAUGAAGAGGAAAGUAAAAGGCAACCAAAGCUAAAGGAAAUGAUGAGGUGCACUCUGGCAGUCUGAGGUGACAGACAGCACCAAAUGGAAGAUAACAUGCACAUUUCAGCAGUUGGCAUGGGACUGUUUUCAUUUUCCGCUCAACAUAGUUUGCAGCUUUUGGACUUCCCUGGGCCGGGAUCCAUUCAUUCACUCAACAUGGCUUGCCACUUCACCAGCUGUGCUUCACUAUGGUUAGGGUUCCUGAAUAUGACUGCUUGUUUUGUCAUGGUUUUUUUUGAAGUGUUUGAUGAAGUAUUGAGUCUAGUGUUUGAUUGUGUUUAGUGUUUGAUUUUGUGUUUAGUGUUUAAUUAUGUGCUCACACUGUGCUCACACUGUGCCCUGUUCUUGACAAUAUCUGGGGAUGUAGCAUGGCAAAUUUGACCAUUUUUGCCACUUCAAUUGCAGUGGAGUCACACAUGUAACUUUGCUUGCACAUUUUUGACUAAAGACAUAACUCAAUCAUCCCAGUGCUCUUGUUCUUCUUACCUGUUAAGACCAUACCUCAAAGCUAACUACUACAGUGCAUGUACUGUAUUUGAA